rnacentral:lncRNA from 1 species
UUUAAAAAAUUAAAAUAAAAUAAAACACAUGGUGAUUUCUCGGUAAAAGAACAUACAUAGUAAAUAAGAAAAGUAUAUACUAUGUUAGAAGGUGCUAAAUAAUAUGGGAAAAUGGAGCAGGGUAAGGACGAUAGGGGGUGCAGGAGGAGCAGGUGUUUCAAUUUUUGUUUUUUAAAAAGAUUUUGUUUAUUUGAGAUAGACCAAGACAGAGCAUGAGCAGGAUAGGGGAGGUACACAGAAGAAGAGGAUAAGCAGACUCGUUGCUGAGCAGGAAGCCGACACUCGGCUCAAUCCCAGGACUCUGGGAUGGUGACCUGAGCCAAAGGCAGAUGCUUAACCAACUAAGCCACCCAGGCAUCCCUAGAAUCAACUUUUUUAAACAUAUAAUCACACUUUCUGACCAGGUCAGGAUAUCAUUUUGACCAAAGUAUAAUCUUUAACAAUUUAUAUGCUUAAUAAAUAAUUUCCAAGUUAAAUGGCCUUUGUUUUUCAUAGACCAUUUCUGUAUAAACAGAUUAACAUAAUAUUGAUGAAAUGAAUCAUAACUGAAAUAUAUGAAGUUGGCUUAAUAUUAGAAGAUUUCUAUACAAAUAGAGGUUUAGUUUGCAAAGUAAGUACCUCCAGAAAAUUUGCCUUAUAUAUGUGGAUUUUUGUUUAUUGAAUUCUCUUAGUGUAGAGCAUAUCCACUAAUAUUCCAGUUUUUUUCUUUUCUUUUAAAAGAUUUUAUUUAUUUAUUCAUGAGAGAGGCAGAGACACAGGCAGAGGGAGAAGCAGACCCCCUGCAGGGAGCCCGAUGUGGGACUCGAUCCCAGAACUCCGGAAUCAUACCCUGAGCCAAAGGCAGAUGCUCAACUGCUGAGCCACCCAGGCGUCCCAAUAUUCAGUUUUAAAAAUGUAUUUAAACUUUCUAUAUAUUGAUAUGGAAUAUUCUCAAAACAGGAAAGUACAGAUCAGCACGUAUUGUAUGCUAUAUUAUAUACUAUCAUUUCCAUUAAGAAUAUGCACAUACAGGCUCAAAUAUGCAUAGGAUGUCCCUGAAGGAUACACAAGGAAUUGGGAAUAGCAUCUGUCCCCAGGGAUGGAAAGGCAAUGAUUCCAAGGCAGAGGAGGAAGGAGAUGUUUUUACUCUAUAUCCUUUUCUAUCUUUUGACCUUUGUAUUGUGUGUAUACAUUACCUCAUCAGAAAAUAAAAUAAGGGCAGCCUGGGUGGCUCAGUGGUUUAGCGCCACCUUCGGCCCAGGGUGUGAUCCUGGAGACCUGGGAUCAGUCCCAUGUCCGGCUCCCUGCAUGGAGCCUGCUUCUCCCUAUGCCUGUAUCUCUGUGUCUCUCAUGAAUAAAUAAAUAAAAUCUGUAAAAAAAUAAUUUUAAUACAACAUAAAAAAAUAAAGCAGUGCUGUUUGAGGGCAAAUAUGUAGUCACCAAAAUGACUUGGAAAUGAAGUAGUGGAUGUUAGUGUUAUGACACACUGACAGGGUGAGGAAAAGUAUUGACUGAGUCUAGGGAAUGCCUCCUCCAAAGUUUUCUCUUUAAUUGCAGACUGUAUUUUAAAUCAGUUGACCUAAAUUUUGCCCUACAGAUUUACUCAAGGUACAGCUUAUUAAAAAAAAAAAAAAAGGUACAGCUUAUUUACAUGCCUUUGUCAGAUAGGGACCUCUGCUCUGAUCUCACAGAGCCCACCAUAUCUGCUCUUAAAGAUAGCCCUUUCUUUUCCUUUUUUCUAGCUGCAACAUCUGAAACAUGGGAGACUUUAAUAAUUAUAUGAGCCACAGAUAUGAACACAUAAUCUACACAAGAUAAAGUACAAAUAGUAAACAGAAUCAUGAAAAAUAUUCCACCUCAGUAGUCAAAGAAACUCAAACAAAGAAAUAACUUAUUUAAUAAGCAA